UUUUAUGAAAAAUGUGCCAGUUCUGCUGCUGACCUCUAAGUGAGGAUGAAGUGUAUCUGAGGAGA
ensembl:snoRNA Gm23615 small nucleolar RNA SNORD38